rnacentral:rRNA from 2 species
CCAUGGGCAGGUUGAAGGUUGGGUAACACUAACUGGAGGACCGAACCGACUAAUGUUGAAAAAUUAGCGGAUGACCUGUGGCUGGGGGUGAAAGGCCAAUCAAACCGGGAGAUAGCUGGUUCUCCCCGAAAGCUAUUUAGGUAGCGCCUCGUGAAUUCAUCUCCGGGGGUAGAGCACUGUUUCGGCUAGGGGGCCAUCCCGGCUUACCAACCCGAUGCAAACUGCGAAUACCGGAGAAUGUUAUCACGGGAGACACACGGCGGGUGCUAACGUCCGUCGUGAAGAGGGAAACAACCCAGACCGCCAGCUAAGGUCCCAAAGUCAUGGUUAAGUGGGAAACGAUGUGGGAAGGCCCAGACAGCCAGGAUGUUGGCUUAGAAGCAGCCAUCAUUUAAAGAAAGCGUAAUAGCUCACUGGUCGAGUCGGCCUGCGCGGAAGAUGUAACGGGGCUAAACCAUGCACCGAAGCUGCGGCAGCGAACGUAUCACCCAAGACAACUUUACGGAGUUGACGAUUGACGGAGCGAAGCGACGUCAAAGCGUUCAUUAAAGUCGAGUUGGCUUAGGGAUACGUUCGUUGGGUAGGGGAGCGUUCUGUAAGCCUGUGAAGGUGUGUCGUGAGGCAUGCUGGAGGUAUCAGAAGUGCGAAUGCUGACAUAAGUAACGAUAAAGCGGGUGAAAAGCCCGCUCGCCGGAAGACCAAGGGUUCCUGUCCAACGUUAAUCGGGGCAGGGUGAGUCGACCCCUAAGGCGAGGCCGAAAGGCGUAGUCGAUGGGAAACGGGUUAAUAUUCCCGUACUUGGUGUUACUGCGAAGGGGGGACGGAGAAGGCUAUGUUGGCCGGGCGACGGUUGUCCCGGUUUAAGCGUGUAGGUGUGUGUUCCAGGUAAAUCCGGUU